CAUAGCCGACCUGAGAGGGUGAUCGGCCACACUGGAACUGAGACACGGUCCAGACUCCUACGGGAGGCAGCAGUAGGGAAUCUUCCGCAAUGGGCGAAAGCCUGACGGAGCAACGCCGCGUGAGUGAUGAAGGUCUUCGGAUCGUAAAACUCUGUUAUUAGGGAAGAACAUAUGUGUAAGUAACUGUGCACAUCUUGACGGUACCUAAUCAGAAAGCCACGGCUAACUACGUGCCAGCAGCCGCGGUAAUACGUAGGUGGCAAGCGUUAUCCGGAAUUAUUGGGCGUAAAGCGCGCGUAGGCGGUUUUUUAAGUCUGAUGUGAAAGCCCACGGCUCAACCGUGGAGGGUCAUUGGAAACUGGAAAACUUGAGUGCAGAAGAGGAAAGUGGAAUUCCAUGUGUAGCGGUGAAAUGCGCAGAGAUAUGGAGGAACACCAGUGGCGAAGGCGACUUUCUGGUCUGUAACUGACGCUGAUGUGCGAAAGCGUGGGGAU
rnacentral:rRNA from 1 species